CAAUAGCGUAUAUUAAAGUUGUUGCGGUUAAAAAGCUCGUAGUUGGAUUUCUGCCGAGGACGACCGGUCCGCCCUCUGGGUGAGUAUCUGGCUCGGCCUGGGCAUCUUCUUGGAGAACGUAGCUGCACUUGACUGUGUGGUGCGGUAUCCAGGACUUUUACUUUGAGGAAAUUAGAGUGUUUCAAGCAGGCUUACGCCUUGAAUACAUUAGCAUGGAAUAAUAAGAUAGGACCUCGGUUCUAUUUUGUUGGUUUCUAGAGCUGAGGUAAUGAUUAAUAGGGAUAGUUGGGGGCAUUCGUAUUUAACUGUCAGAGGUGAAAUUCUUGGAUUUACGCAAGACAAACAGCUGCGAAAGCGUCUGCCAAGGAUGUUUUCAUUAA
rnacentral:rRNA from 1 species